rnacentral:rRNA from 1 species
GAUGAACGCUGGCGGCGUGCCUAAUACAUGCAAGUCGAACGAGGCCCAAUGUACUUGUACAGAGGUGUCCUAGUGGCGAACGGGUGAGUAACGCGUUGGUGACCUGCCCCGAAGUGGGGGAUAACAGUUCGAAAGGACUGCUAAUACCCCAUGUGACUGUGAGAGUUAGAGGUCUCACUAUCAAAGGAGUAAUCCGCUUCGGGAGGGGCCUGCGUCCCAUCAGCUAGUUGGUAAGGUAAUGGCUUACCAAGGCUUAGACGGGUAGGGGACCUGAGAGGGUGACCCCCCACACUGGAACUGAAACACGGUCCAGACACCUACGGGUGGCAGCAGUAGGGAAUAUUGCACAAUGGGCGAAAGCCUGAUGCAGCAACGCCGCGUGCACGAUGAAGGCCUUCGGGUUGUAAAGUGCUUUUAUGAGGGAAGAGAAAGGACUGUACCUCAUGAAUAAGGAUCGGCUAACUACGUGCCAGCAGCCGCGGUAACACGUAGGAUCCGAGCGUUAUCCGGAUUUACUGGGCGUAAAGCGCGUGCAGGUGGUCUAUUAAGUUGGAUGUUAAAUCUCCUGGCUUAACUGGGAGUUGUCGUUCAAAACUGGUAGACUAGAGGACGGUAGAGGAAGGUGGAAUUCCGGGUGUAGUGGUGAAAUGCGUAGAUAUCCGGAGGAACAUCAGUGGCGAAGGCGACCUUCUGGACCGCUCCUGACACUCCAACGCGAAAGCUAGGGGAGCAAACGGGAUUAGAAACCCCGGUAGUCCUAGCUGUAAACGAUGUGAACUUGGUGUCGGUGGGGUAAAACCUAUCGGUGCCGAAGCCAACGCGAUAAGUUCACCGCCUGGGGACUACGGCCGCAAGGUUAAAACUCAAAGG